rnacentral:rRNA from 1 species
UGCGUAGGUGGCUAGGUAAGUCGGAUGUGAAAUCCCGGAGCUCAACCCCGGAACUGCAUUCGAUACUGCUUGGCUUGAGUACUGGAGAGGAGAUUGGAAUUUACGGUGUAGCAGUGAAAUGCGUAGAUAUCGUAAGGAAGACCGGUGGCGAAGGCGGAUCUCUGGACAGUUACUGACACUGAGGCACGAAGGCCAGGGAGGCAAACG